rnacentral:rRNA from 1 species
GCUACCUUCGGGUGGAGCGGCGGACGGGUUAGUAACGCGUGGGAAUAUACCCUUCACUAUGGAAUAGCCUCGGGAAACUGAGAGUAAUACCAUAUACGCCCUUCGGGGGAAAGAUUUAUCGGUGAAGGAUUAGCCCGCGUAAGAUUAGAUAGUUGGUGGGGUAAUGGCCUACCAAGUCUACGACCUUUAGCUGGUUUUAGAGGAUGAUCAGCAACACUGGGACUGAGACACGGCCCAGACUCCUACGGGAGGCAGCAGUGGGGAAUCUUAGACAAUGGGCGAAAGCCUGAUCUAGCCAUGCCGCGUGAGUGAUGAAGGUCUUAGGAUCGUAAAGCUCUUUCGCUAGGGAUGAUAAUGACAGUACCUAGUAAAGAAGCCCCGGCUAACUCCGUGCCAGCAGCCGCGGUAAUACGGAGGGGGCUAGCGUUGUUCGGAAUUACUGGGCGUAAAGCGUACGUAGGCGGAUCAGAAAGUAUGGGGUGAAAUCCCAGGGCUUAACCCUGGAACUGCCUCAUAAACUCCUGGUCUUGAG